rnacentral:lncRNA from 1 species
UGGUCACAUCUGCCUGUUCCCCCCCCUCCCCACAGCCGGGUCGGCGGUGUCCCCAUCAGCACUCAGGGCGGCGCUCGAGCAACAGUGCCGCGGGCUUGGUCAGCGUGCGUUGCAGUUCCGUAUUUACUUAAAACAUGCCGAAAAGGGAAUUAAUAGGUUAAUACAAAGCCAUUCACCCAUUCUUGAAAUCCAACAUACUGUGCCUUGUCUAGUAUUUUUCUAUUCUUUAUUUUUGGUACCGCAGAUGGAACUCGGGACCUUGCGCUUUCGAGGCAGGCGGCAGAACCAGUGAGCUAAAUCUCCGGCCCCCCUUGUCUAAUAUUUUUAGGCAACACGGCAGACAUAAGUCUACAGUCCCCCCCACCCCUCUGUUAAGUACGAGAUGAGGUCUGAGGAGACCCUUCUGGAAGGCACCAUCCUCAUCCCCGACUCCCCAAGCACGGCUACUGUUACUUGUUGGUCGCUAUUGUGACCCAAGGGGUCCUGAUUCUGCCGUGAUGCUGGGCAGGAGACAGAGGGCCCCCAUACGGGAC